GCUGGGCGUGGUGGCGCAUGCCUGUAGUCCCAGUUGCUCUGGAGGCUGAGGCAGGAGAAUCGCUUGAACCCGGGAGGUGGAGGUUGCAGUGAGCCGAGAUCGUGCCACUGCACUCCAGCCUGGGCAACAGAGCAAGACUCUGUCUCAC
ensembl:misc_RNA Metazoa_SRP Metazoan signal recognition particle RNA